UAUAUUAAUUUAGAAUAUUUAUCUUUAUUUGAAAAAUCCAAAGGUAAAAAAAGAUACGAAAUAAUGAUGGAUAUAAACCGCAAACAAAUUGAACAAGGAAUUGAAGUAAAAAAUCACGCAUGGAAAACUAUAAAAGCUUCGGGGGAAAACGCAUUCAUGCUUGCUUAAUGCCGAAGACAUGGAAGAAGGGAUGUCGAUUAAUGUUUUGCGAUGGAAUUUGCUGGAAUUCAUUACUUUUUAUUGAGAGCAUCAUAGUGCGGCUCUUUUAUUGGUAUAACGAAGUCAAAACGACCACGGCAUCGGGCACGUUCCAUGACAUAACACUGACGUGAUAAUAUUAUGCGAGUUUGAUGAAAUUAAAGUAGCACAAGCGUCUUGAACUAAAUUUUUCGAUAUUUGUUCAUUUGUAACAAAAAAAAAAAAUAAUUUAAGGUAGAAAUGCAUCUCAAUUCAUUUUAAUAGGUUUAUUUAUCUUGGUCCCAGAAGUUUCCUUUUAAGAAUACAUACAGAUGAGGAUUUAGAAUUAAUAGGAUUAAGUUACAGUACUUACCUGAUUGAAAGAUUACAUUGACAAAAUUACUUAUGAGGAGACGAUUAUUUAGUGACUUAUCAUUAUGUCUAUUGACGUACUAUAAUACAAGGAAAUUUUUAUAUUGGAAAUAUUUCGGUCCUCGACCUCUUAAAGACUAUACACUGUGAUUCAUCGGUUAACGAACGCAAUUUCGUUGUGUGAUCAUGAUUCUUCAGUUGAUAUAAUAAACGAGUUCGUAUCAUCUGGUUUAGAAAUAUGCAUGCUGAAACGAUGAUUAAAAUAAUAUCUAGCAUUUGUGCAUGUGUUGUUGUCAUAAACCCAUGAAGAAAAAAGAUAUAAUAUAAAAAUUGAAAUAGUUAUAAGUUGAAUUAAAGAAAAAUUGUUGCAUUUAAAAUAAAAAUUGCAUACUACAAACAGAAUAAAAUUUAAAAAAGUAUAUUUAAGAAUCAAUCUAAUCUUUUCAUCAUUGAUUAAUCACGAUAAUUAUACAUUGUU